rnacentral:lncRNA from 1 species
GCUGCCCCUUCUAAUGAUGAAUUACAAACUCAGGUUAAUAAAUAUUUUAUCAAUUACUUGGUUUGUUUCUUUUAUGAUUAACUUGUUAGGUAUCAUUUUUUUUUAAUACUUUCAUUUGUUAAAAUCUUCAUUGAUAUCACAAGUCAAUGAUAUGAAAGAAAUGAUAGCAUUCAUGUUGCAAAAUUAUCAAGGUCAAUUGCCUUCAAAGUUUGCAGCAUUUCAACCCUCGGUAAUAAUUACUAAAUUUAUUUGUAUGAUUUUUUUUUAAAUAUAUAACCAACUAACUAUUAUGUUAUAUUGUAGGUAUCUGAUCAAGGAAGCGUGCCAAACGAUGAAUAUAAUGAAGUUGAAGAAAAUUAGACAUGUAUGAACAAUUAAGUAUGUCUGGAUUGAUAUCUGUUGUCAAUCAUGAACCUUUCUCAACUUUCUUUUCUUUUUUCUUCUGUUUGGAUAAAAGGAGAAUCAAGCAGCUCAUAGAGGACUUAUGAAGAAUAAGCUUUUCUUCCUUUUCUUUUUCCUGUUUUCUCUGUUAAUGAACAAUCUGAAUACUAUCAAUUUCUGAAUUCUGUUUCAAACAUUUUUUUUCUCAAUUUUGGUGCUGUUUUUAUUCUUAUUUCUAUUUUGUUUCAUUGUGUUACUGUGCUGUACAUAAAUCUGAAUAUCUGUGUUGUUUAGGAGCCUUUCUUACUCACACAUUGAGGACAAUGUGCCUCUUAAGUGUGGGGUGAGAAGGUAUAGAUUUAAAUACUUGUUUUUACUCUAAUAUGCAUCUGAUAGUAUGUUUUUUUUUUUUGUAGUUAAAAUAGGACUAAAAUUUUUUUCAGUUUCUUUUCUUAGUUGCUUUUAGCAUUGUUUCAGUUUCUAAAUACUUACUUCUAGUUUGUAAAUACUUAGUUUUUGAUGCUUUCAUAAUCUGUUUUAGGCAGUAGACUAGGCUUUAUUCAUAGUUGCUUGUAUAAUUUUUCUCUUUGAUCCUAUUUCACUCAUUAGACUCUUUAAGUUUUGUUUCAGUUUCAUUUUCAUGCACUAGGUUCGGUUUCAUUUUCAUUGUUUUAGGUAAAUUCUCAUUUUCAAGUUCUGUUUUAACUGUUUACAUUUGCAUUUGUUUCAGAAUUCUUUCUUCAACUCUGACUCACUUUCUUUUUCUCCCUUUUCUGUUUGCAGUCUUUUAUGUGUCCUUCAGGAAUUAAUGACUUUCCUAUGACAACUAUUGACCAUAUCAAGGUACGUUCAUGUGAAGUUAUAGGUGGGAGUUUUUUAUUCAGUUCCGUGAAGUUUUUUAAAUUUCUUUGCUCACCCAUUUCUGCUUUCAUAUAAACGCAACAAAACACACUGUGAUGGGGUAAUGUUGUACACUAAGGAGCACAUAUUCAUAUUGUCCACUUGUCUGAUUCAAGUGCUUCCUUAGAUCUGAUUAAGGUACUCUAUCAUUGAGUUGCUUGGUUAAAAUUAAAUAUGAAGUAUACCAAUUGACUAGAUUGCUAAUAUUAUACAUUUAUAAUGUACAGGAAGCAAAAAGUCGAGGUGAUAGCAUAAACGUUGAGACUUGUCCUCACUACCUGGCUUUCACCUCUAAAGAGAUACCAAAUGGAGGUACUCGUUUUAAGUGUUCCCCACCCAUUCGUGAUGCACAAAACAAAGACAAAUUAUGGGAGGCUGUAUUGGUAUGCUUCCUCUCCAUAAAUACCUAGUAUUGUCUCACUUUAAUCAUUUAUGAUCUCAUCGUUUUUUUUUUUUUUUGUUUGUUUUACUCUGCAUUCCAUGAGCGAACCAAGCAUAUUGAGCUGGAUUGCCACGUGGUCCGUGAGAAGAUUCAAGCGAAGUUUUUACAUCUUCUCCCCAUUCGAUCGGAAAAACAGCUUGCGGAUGUGUUCACUAAAUUUCCUCACCAAACUCAUUUUAGAUCUAUCAUCCCCAAGCUUGGAUUAGUGAGUAUCCACCAUCUAGCUUGAGGGGAGCGUAUUAAUGUUUCUGUUAUUGGGUUUAAUGCUCCUAAGAGCUAUUUUGUCUUUUAGUGUUUUAAAUUAGGGGUUAUUUGUUUUCAGUUAGAGAUUCUAACUGUUAGGAUUGUGCUCAUCGGAGCCCUAUAUAUAAGGUUUCCAGUGUGUGGUUUCGUGUAACUCAGAAUAAACAAUAAUACAGUUUUUCUUUUCGUUCAAUGACAGAGAUAUUGAGAGUUUUUCUUACCUCCGCUUCUUCAGUUACCAUCUGACUCUCUUCCGGUCCACUGUCGCCGCUGCAAGCUUCAUCGGAGGUGUCUCCCGCGUUCGCCCUCUUUCUCUUCUCACUCUUCCCAGCCACUCGUGAUGCAAAGGUUCACCUACUUUCUGAUUGGAGGAAGCUUCUAGUGAAGCUUUGGUCUUUCGACACUAGCAGAAAAUAUAUUUUUUAUAGCAAUUUUUUAUACCUGUUAAAAUUCACCAGGUAUAAAAAGUGACGCAAUGGUAAUUUCGUAAAUAAAAGAAAUUUUUCUACAUAAGUUAUAAUAAAAUCAGGUAUAAAAAAUAAUGUAUUAGCAAAAUUGUAAAUAAUCCAAAUACGUUUAUACCGGUUGCAUUGAGAAUAGGUAUAGAAAAUCCUUUAUUUUAUACCUGUUAAUCUUCAAGAGGUAUGAAUUACUUUAGUCUUUUUCCCUCCCGCACAGCUUACAGCUCGCAGCUCUUCUUUUUCGUUCUCCCUCUCUUGUUCUCCCUCCUUCCUGUUGGUUCCACAACAGAUAUAAAAGAAUUUCACUUUUACACCUAACAUUCUGAUAACCGGUAUAAAAAAAAUAAGACUUUUUAUACCUGUUGUGCUUUAACAGGUAUAAAAGUGACGUUUUGUUUUUUAAUAUUUGAUUUAUUUGUACUACUAUCGUACAUAAAAUUCAAUUCCAUAAUACAAUCUAAAUAAUCAAUAACAAGCAAAAUAAUCAAUGUUGUUUCUAUUAAUACAUUAAAAUAUAAUACUUCCUUAACAAAGUUUCUAAAUAUAUAUAUUGGUGUCUUACAAUAAAUAACGUUUUUCUUUUUAAAACAAUUAGUCUAAUUUUAAAAAAAAAUAAUAAUUUUUUAAUAAAAUAUUUCAAAAAAGAUUUUAAAAUAUAUAAAAUAUCGGUUUUAUUAUAUACAAACUCGUGCUAUAUGUUUCCUAAAAAAUGGAAAGCAAAAAGGAAACUUGAAUAGAAGUAAAGAUAGACCAUAUGUUACAUUUAUAAAUCAAACAAGAAAUGAUCAUUACAGGGCUCACUUGUUUUCCUCAGCAAUAUGCUUCUGUGCUUUUCUCACUUGGUCCUACAAGAAAUAUGGUAUUAUUAAAAUAUAUCACUAAAUGCAUUAGCAAAUUGAAGGACGAGAUAUAAAAAACAAUAGUGAAACGGGAAAAAAGAAAAAUGCCUGCAAAUAUAUUCUACAUAUAUAUAAUACCUGAAGUCGGGCUAUCUUUGUUUUGAUGUCAGCUUUCUUGGCAGCAGGAAUUGA